rnacentral:rRNA from 1 species
UUAAGUUAUUAAGGGCGCACGGUGGAUGCCUUGGCACUAGAAGCCGAUGAAGGACGUUACUAACGACGAUAUGCUUUGGGGAGCUGUAAGUAAGCUUUGAUCCAGAGAUUUCCGAAUGGGGAAACCCAGCAUGAGUUAUGUCAUGUUAUCGAUAUGUGAAUACAUAGCAUAUCAGAAGGCACACCCGGAGAACUGAAACAUCUUAGUACCCGGAGGAAGAGAAAGAAAAUUCGAUUCCCUUAGUAGCGGCGAGCGAAACGGGAAGAGCCCAAACCAACAAGCUUGCUUGUUGGGGUUGUAGGACACUCUAUACGGAGUUACAAAGGACGACAUUAGACGAAUCAUCUGGAAAGAUGAAUCAAAGAAGGUAAUAAUCCUGUAGUCGAAAAUGUUGUCUCUCUUGAGUGGAUCCUGAGUACGACGGAGCACGUGAAAUUCCGUCGGAAUCUGGGAGGACCAUCUCCUAAGGCUAAAUACUCUCUAGUGACCGAUAGUGAACCAGUACCGUGAGGGAAAGGUGAAAAGCACCCCGGAAGGGGAGUGAAAUAGAACCUGAAACCGUGUGCUUACAAGUAGUCAGAGCCCGUUAAUGGGUGAUGGCGUGCCUUUUGUAGAAUGAACCGGCGAGUUACGAUUUGAUGCAAGGUUAAGCAGUAAAUGUGGAGCCGUAGCGAAAGCGAGUCUGAAUAGGGCGUUUAGUAUUUGGUCGUAGACCCGAAACCAGGUGAUCUACCCUUGGUCAGGUUGAAGUUCAGGUAACACUGAAUGGAGGACCGAACCGACUUACGUUGAAAAGUGAGCGGAUGAACUGAGGGUAGCGGAGAAAUUCCAAUCGAACCUGGAGAUAGCUGGUUCUCUCCGAAAUAGCUUUAGGGAUAGCCUCAAGUGAUGAUUAUUGGAGGUAGAGCACUGUUUGGACGAGGGGCCCCUCUCGGGUUACCGAAUUCAGACAAACUCCGAAUGCCAAUUAAUUUAACUUGGGAGUCAGAACAUGGGUGAUAAGGUCCGUGUUCGAAAGGGAAACAGCCCAGACCACCAGCUAAGGUCCCAAAAUAUAUGUUAAGUGGAAAAGGAUGUGGCGUUGCCCAGACAACUAGGAUGUUGGCUUAGAAGCAGCCAUCAUUUAAAGAGUGCGUAAUAGCUCACUAGUCGAGUGACACUGCGCCGAAAAUGUACCGGGGCUAAACAUAUUACCGAAGCUGUGGAUUGUCCUUUGGACAAUGGUAGGAGAGCGUUCUAAGGGCGUUGAAGCAUGAUCGUAAGGACAUGUGGAGCGCUUAGAAGUGAGAAUGCCGGUGUGAGUAGCGAAAGACGGGUGAGAAUCCCGUCCACCGAUUGACUAAGGUUUCCAGAGGAAGGCUCGUCCGCUCUGGGUUAGUCGGGUCCUAAGCUGAGGCCGACAGGCGUAGGCGAUGGAUAACAGGUUGAUAUUCCUGUACCACCUAUAAUCGUUUUAAUCGAUGGGGGGACGCAGUAGGAUAGGCGAAGCGUGCGAUUGGAUUGCACGUCUAAGCAGUAAGGCUGAGUAUUAGGCAAAUCCGGUACUCGUUAAGGCUGAGCUGUGAUGGGGAGAAGACAUUGAGUCUUCGAGUCGUUGAUUUCACACUGCCGAGAAAAGCCUCUAGAUAGAAAAUAGGUGCCCGUACCGCAAACCGACACAGGUAGUCAAGAUGAGAAUUCUAAGGUGAGCGAGCGAACUCUCGUUAAGGAACUCGGCAAAAUGACCCCGUAACUUCGGGAGAAGGGGUGCUCUUUAGGGUUAACGCCCAGAAGAGCCGCAGUGAAUAGGCCCAAGCGACUGUUUAUCAAAAACACAGGUCUCUGCUAAACCGUAAGGUGAUGUAUAGGGGCUGACGCCUGCCCGGUGCUGGAAGGUUAAGAGGAGUGGUUAGCUUCUGCGAAGCUACGAAUCGAAGCCCCAGUAAACGGCGGCCGUAACUAUAACGGUCCUAAGGUAGCGAAAUUCCUUGUCGGGUAAGUUCCGACCCGCACGAAAGGCGUAACGAUUUGGGCACUGUCUCAACGAGAGACUCGGUGAAAUCAUAGUACCUGUGAAGAUGCAGGUUACCCGCGACAGGACGGAAAGACCCCGUGGAGCUUUACUGUAGCCUGAUAUUGAAAUUCGGCACAGCUUGUACAGGAUAGGUAGGAGCCUUUGAAACGUGAGCGCUAGCUUACGUGGAGGCGCUGGUGGGAUACUACCCUAGCUGUGUUGGCUUUCUAACCCGCACCACUUAUCGUGGUGGGAGACAGUGUCAAGCGGGCAGUUUGACUGGGGCGGUCGCCUCCUAAAAGGUAACGGAGGCGCUCAAAGGUUCCCUCAGAAUGGUUGGAAAUCAUUCAUAGAGUGUAAAGGCAUAAGGGAGCUUGACUGCGAGACCUACAAGUCGAGCAGGGUCGAAAGACGGACUUAGUGAUCCGGUGGUUCCGCAUGGAAGGGCCAUCGCUCAACGGAUAAAAGCUACCCCGGGGAUAACAGGCUUAUCUCCCCCAAGAGUUCACAUCGACGGGGAGGUUUGGCACCUCGAUGUCGGCUCAUCGCAUCCUGGGGCUGUAGUCGGUCCCAAGGGUUGGGCUGUUCGCCCAUUAAAGCGGUACGCGAGCUGGGUUCAGAACGUCGUGAGACAGUUCGGUCCCUAUCCGUCGUGGGCGUAGGAAAUUUGAGAGGAGCUGUCCUUAGUACGAGAGGACCGGGAUGGACAUACCUCUGGUGUACCAGUUGUCGUGCCAACGGCAUAGCUGGGUAGCUAUGUGUGGACGGGAUAAGUGCUGAAAGCAUCUAAGCAUGAAGCCCCCCUCAAGAUGAGAUUUCCCAACUUUGGUUAUAAGAUCCCUCAAAGAUGAUGAGGUUAAUAGGUUCGAGGUGGAAGCAUGGUGACAUGUGGAGCUGACGAAUACUAAUCGAUCGAAGACUUAAUCAA